UAGCAUAUCAAUAAGCGGAGGAAAAGAAACUUAACAAGGAUUUCCCUAGUAACUGCGAGUGAAGCGGGAAAAGCUCAAAUUUAAAAUCUGGCGGUCUCCGGCCGUCCGAGUUGUAAUUUAGAGAAGCGUUAUCCGUGCUGGACCGUGUAUAAGUCUCCUGGAAUGGAGCGUCAUAGAGGGUGAGAAUCCCGUCUUUGACACGGACUACCAGUGCAUUGUGAUGCGCUCUCGACGAGUCGAGUUGUUUGGGAAUGCAGCUCAAAAUGGGUGGUAAAUGCCAUCUAAAGCUAAAUAUUGGCGAGAGACCGAUAGCGAACAAGUACCGUGAGGGAAAGAUGAAAAGAACUUUGGAAAGAGAGUUAAACAGUACGUGAAAUUGUCGAAAGGGAAACGGUUGCAGUCAGUCGCGUCCGCCGGGGAUCAACCUUGCUUUUGCUUGGCGUAUUUCCCGGUGGAUGGGUCAGCAUCAGUUUUGACCGCAGUUGAAAGGCUGGAGGAAUGUGGCACCUUCGGGUGUGUUAUAGCCUCCUGUCAUAUGCUGCGGUUGGGACCGAGGAACUCAGCACGCCGCAAGGCCGGGAUUCGUCCACGUUCGUGCUUAGGAUGCUGGCAUAAUGUCUGUAACCGACCCGUCUUGAAACACGGACCAAGGAGUCUAACAUGCACGCGAGUGUUUGGGUGGCAAACCCGAGCGCGUAAUGAAAGUGAAAGUUGAGACCUCUGUCGUGGAGGGCAUCGACGCCCGGACCAGAACUUUUGGGGCGGAUCCGCGGUAGAGCGUGUAUGUUGGGACCCGAAAGAUGGUGAACUAUGCCUGAAUAGGGCGAAGCCAGAGGAAACUCUGGUGGAGGCUCGUAGCGAUUCUGACGUGCAAAUCGAUCGUCGAAUUGG
rnacentral:rRNA from 1 species